AUGGAGAUGAGGCCCCGCCCACUGGCCCCGCCAGCUGCAGCUCCAGCAGCCCCGCCACGUUCUCUCCCUCCUGCUCGCCAUUUCCGUGCCACCUCUCCUUCUCCCGCCCGGUCUUCUGCUCUUCCUUCCAGGCUUCCCUGCCCUGUUCCCCAUUGUUCUUCCCCUUCCGUCUCCCCGCUCCCCUCGCCUCCCCCCUGCUCCUGGCGCGACCCGGUCCCUCGGCCUCCGCAUCUUCACUUCCUCCGUGCCCUUCCCCGCCGCUGGCCCUCCCCUCCCCCACGUUGCCCCGUCUGGCCAAAGGACAAAUCUCAAGGGGAAACCAGCAAAGACAAACAAGGAGCAGUGACUUCAUUAUCGUCGUUAAUUUGCCACUUCGGUUCCUCCCACAAGGGUCAAAGCCAGCACGGCUUGAACUCAGGACUGCCGCGGAGGCUGAGCCGGAGCUGCCUUUUCCGCUCGAAGCCUGUCCCCAGCCACCCUCCCUCCCUCCCUCCCCCCUCCCCGCAGCCUCCGUUUCCCGGCAGGGGGUCGGGCUCCGGUUCCGCUCCUCCAUUUCUCUCCGCGGCCGCACAGCCUACCGCCCUCCUUCCUUUUUCAUUUAAAUUGUGGCCUUCACUCCGGCUCCAAGUCACAUGGUUUCUACCUCGGACUCCCUCUCUCAGUCCUACUCCGCCGGUCGCUUCUCCCACCCACCCUGCCGGUACCCCUUCCUUCCUUGGCCUCCCCCGGUCUUCUCUCCUCCUAGCCUCAAGUGCACUCCUUUCCCCGAAGCACCAGGACUUAUCUUCUGGGUUUUGGAAAUCGGGUAGCCAGAAGCAGCUGGAGAUGAGAGAAGGCAUUCAGACCCACAUAGGCCAGUGGCCCAUAACUUGGAAAGAAAGGGCUGAACAGAAAGAAAGACAGCUGCCAUGGGGGCGACAGGCCCAUGAGUCAGAGGAAGCAGCAGAAUCUAGACUCAGACAUCCCAGACCUGAGACACAUGGGGGCCCAGACAAACAAUCUCCAAGACCAGAGAAAAAGGAGGACAGAGCCAAAGGGCCUCGGGCUUGA
rnacentral:lncRNA from 1 species